rnacentral:rRNA from 1 species
UUCUCCUACGGGACGCAGCAGUGAGGAAUAUUGGUCAAUGGGCGGAAGCCUGAACCAGCCAAGUCGCGUGAGGGAAUAAGGCCCUACGGGUCGUAAACCUCUUUUGCCGGGGAGCAAGGGCGGGGACGUGUCCCGGCCCGGAGAGUACCCGGAGAAAAAGCAUCGGCUAACUCCGUGCCAGCAGCCGCGGUAAUACGGAGGAUGCGAGCGUUAUCCGGAUUUAUUGGGUUUAAAGGGUGCGUAGGCGGGAUGCCAAGUCAGCGGUAAAAAUGCGGUGCUCAACGCCGUCGAGCCGUUGAAACUGG